rnacentral:misc_RNA from 1 species
GCACAAUUUCAACAGCCUCUUGGUUGCUAAGAUGCUCCCAUAAACCAUCAGAAGCAAAUAUGAGGAACUGAUCUUCUGAUUGGAGUUUAUGGACUAAGAUUGAUGGCUCUGAACUGAGGAUUGGCUUGUGGAAUGGUUCAGCCGAUCUGUACUUGGACUGUAGAGGAUCUUUGUUGAAUUCUGCCCUUUUAAGAUAGGCAUCCCCAAUGGAUCUUGAAACCUGCAAUGAUAACUCAUCAAGAAAUCCAAAAUGGUUGAUCAAUUUAGUACAAACAACAUUUAUGGUAUACAGAGUUUUUGUGCUCUAGGAAUGGAAAUUACCUGUAUGAUGCCUUUGACACACCACACUUUGUGCUUCAAGACAACAAUCUGGGAAUCAUCAGGAUGUAAAGAUCGAAGUUCAUUUCUAACAGAUUCUAUAUUUGCAUUGUGCUCCCUAGAUAAUUGCAUGGCUUUAACUCUCAGUUUUCCUGUUUCUGCUCUCCCCAAGACUGCCCGAGAGUCUGCAGCAUUCGCAAUAUACAACUGUCCAUAGCAUACAACUCCCACUAAACAGCAAGAUCCUACCGAUGCUAUUUGGGGUCUAUUGAGCCACUGUUUUCUCACAAGAGAAACAAAGUCCUCUUCUGUUGCUGAAAAAGCUCUCUUAAUAACGUUUCCUGAUACGUCCUGCUGCUUAGACACCAAUGCUGCAUCAUAAAGUAACUGCAAGGAU